rnacentral:rRNA from 1 species
GAUGAACGCUGGCGGCGUGCUUAACACAUGCAAGUCGAACGGAAGGGCCCUGCUUUUGUUUGUUUCUCGUUUGGCGAGCGGGUGAGUAACACGUGAGUAACCUGCCCUUGUCUUUGUGAUAACUUCAGGAAACUCGGGCUCUUACCCGAUAUGAUCUCCUGCUGCAUGUUGUUGGUUGGUAAGUUUCGGCGGUUCGGGAUGGACUCGCUGCUUACCCGCUUGUUUGUCUGGUAGUUACUUACCAAGGCUUUGACGGCUAGCCGGCCUGAGAGGGUGACCGGCCACAUGGGGACUGAGAGACGGACCAGAAGGCUACGGGAGGCAGCAGUGGAGAAUAUGGCAGAAUGGGCGGAAGCCAGAGGCAGAAACGCCGCGUGCGGGAUGACGGCUUUCGGGUGGUAAACCGAUUUCGAAGGUGACGAAGAGUGAGUGACGGUAAUGAGUAAAGAAGCAACGGCUAACUACGUG